UUAGCAAACCCAUCUGUAGAGCACGGCGCCCCUUUCUUCCCCAGGGAUCUCCCCCUCCAUCCGGCGGCCGGGCGACGGUGCGAGAGAGUAGAGAGAGACCCGAGCGAGAGUCCGACACGGGGCCAGCAAGCGCUGGGAUAAUGGCGACGGCGGAGAAAAAGAGGCCUCGGAGCAGAAGCGGCGGCGGCGGCGGCGGCGGCGUGGAGAAGAGGCCGAGCAGGAAGCAGAUAUUGGGGAGAAAGAAGGCUGUUGAAGAACUUAUCAGGAAAGCUGUAGCCGUGAAGGAUCAUCUAGCGCAAUUUCCUGAUUUUCAUAAGUAUCAGAGAAAUGGUCUUUUGGUCUACUUGGAGUCUGGACAUGGAAAUCAACUUCCAUUAUCAACAAGGAAGUACAUCCAAAAUCUUCUCAAGGUUAACAUGGAGGGACAAUAUGGGCCAGAAUGGCCUUCAGAAGAGAAAAUUAAGCGCCGGGAAAUGGUUGCCCCAGAAGCACGAUAUAUCUUUGUCCGGCAAUCUUCAAAUGCCAUUACCACCCAAAAUAUUAUGAAGCAAGAUUCCGGGCUAGAAUUUACACAUGAAGCAUGUAAUGAAGAUCGCUUGAUUGGUUUUGUACACUACAGAUUUGUUUUGGAAGAAGAUGUUCCUGUUGUUUAUGUCUAUGAGUUACAGAUGGUGCCUUCUGCACAGGGGAAGGGGCUGGGAAAAUUUCUAAUGGAAUUGAUUGAACUUAUAGCUUGUAAGAGCCAAAUGGGAGCAGUGAUGCUAACUGUUCAGAAAGCUAACAACCUUGCUAUGGCUUUCUACAAGAAGUUGAGUGACUGCUGGUUGAAACAUUUCAAUGUAACUCUUAUCCUGCAGAUAUGUAAUAUCCAGUACUUCGCCAUCACGAGUAGAUCCACUGUGUCUACAGAUUGGGCUUGAAAAAAACUAUGAGAUUUUGUGCAAGGCAUGUGAAUCUGAAGCUAAGUCCAAAUUAGAGGAAGGCAACUGAAAACUCCCUGCGCAAUGACCAAUCUUGUUAAAAUGUGAUGUGAUGAUGGAUGUUGUUCUCCACUACAGUUUUGACACCUUACAGGGUACAGCACUACAGCUCAUGCUUGAGCGGCCGCAUAUCGUCAGGACACCAUGUUAUCGCAAUGCAUUCAGAUGUAUUGCACAUUUGCACUGUUCUUGUCUGAAUGAAGCUGAUCCUGCUAAUCCAUCCUGGGAAACAAACACGAUUGGCUGGCCCAUAUUCUUUCCUUGCAAAACGCAAAUGUACAUCUGCACGAUGGAGAGCAUAUGAAGGUUGCAUGUCGUAGGCUUGAGACGACAGUAAUGCAACUUUUUGCAAACUAUGGAUGGAGAUUCACAAAUAGACUUGAAUAAAUGUAUACUCCUUAUCUUGGUUUGGUCUUUUAUUUUGUUGGUGUGUUUAAUUUCAUUUUGAACUACGAUACUUUGUAAUAAUUGGCUGUAGCUCUGAUGAGCAAAGGCUGGAAUGUUUCAUUCCAUUAUCUAAAAAAACAUCUGCACGUUUCUCAA